UACGGGGGGGGGUAAGCGUUGUUCGGAAUUACUGGGCGUAAAGGGCUCGUAGGCGGCCAACUAAGUCAUACGUGAAAUCCCUCAGCUUAACUGGGGAACUGCGUGUGAUACUGGAUGGCUUGGAUUUGGGAGAGGGAUGCGGAAUUCCAGGUGUAGCGGUGAAAUGCGUAGAUAUCUGGAGGAACACCGGUGGCGAAGGCGGCAUCCUGGACCAAUAUUGACGCUGAGGAGCGAAAGCCAGGGGGAGCAAAACGGG
rnacentral:rRNA from 1 species